rnacentral:rRNA from 1 species
UACGGGGGGGGCAAGCGUUGUUCGGAAUUACUGGGCGUAAAGGGCUCGUAGGCGGCCAACUAAGUCAGACGUGAAAUCCCUCGGCUUAGCCGGGGAACUGCAUCUGAUACUGGAUGGCUUGAGUUCGGGAGAGGGAUGUGGAAUUCCAGGUGUAGCGGUGAAAUGCGUAGAUAUCUGGAGGAACACCGGUGGCGAAGGCGGCAUCCUGGACCGACACUGACGCUGAGGAGCGAAAGCCAGGGGAGCAAACGGG